CUAAACUGGAGUAAGUAAAUAAAAAUUUAGAUAAACAAACGAGCGAAACAAACAAACAAACGAUUUUCAGUUUUUGAAUUCGUUUUGAAAUUUUGCGGUGCAAUUUUCAAUGAUUUUAGAGUUUUAAAACACAUUAUAAUUUCUUGCAAUUGAUCAGUACUAAGCUGCUGGAGUCAACAGAAUUCUUUCAUUUGACCAUUCAUUUCUCAAGAUCGCAAUCAGCCUGAUCGAAUUACAACAUGAUGCAUGUCACUUUUGAAGACGAUGAGUACCUGAAACGCAAAUUUGACACAAAGGCAUUUUCGAUCAAAGUGGAUAAAAUGUCAGAUAAAGAUAUAGAAGAAUGUAAGAAGAAAUAUAAAUCAUCACCACGACGCAAUAUUUCCAACGGUAUAUCUCAUUCUCGUUCUCCUACGCCGAAUUCUAAAGAAACUUACGCAAGAUUGUCACGACGUAAUAAUAUCAGUACACCAAAUAAAAGUGAAAACCGAAAAGAUCUCGAUGGCAGUUGUAGCGAUCCAGAGGAGGAGUUCUAUAAGGGAAAAUUCUGUCUUCAAGAGUGUCAAAUUGCCUUACCCAGGGUGCCCAAAAACAACACCAAUAAAAGAAGAAAAUUGGCCUUCAUUUUCGAUUACCUUACAUUUUAUUUUUUGCUAAAAAUUUGUGUUUCCAUCGUCGUCGUCAUACCACUCGUGUUGUAUUUCUUAUAGCAAACCAAGAGCAUAUUUUCGUGUCAUUGGUUCGACUAUUUUAAUACUAGCUAGUCCCAUUGACGAAGAAGUGCCUACUGAAAAUGUACGUAAUUUUUAUUACUUGAUCUUAUUUUGUUGUUUGAAUCAUUUUGAAAAGUUUAAUAUUUAUAUUGUUGCCGGUUGUCGAACAUGACGAUGGUAUUUUACCGUACUUAUUUAUCCGGAUAAACCGUACGUACUAAUUUUUUUGUUCAUCGUUGAAACUGGACUUGUUCGUUAUAAAAGUAUUAUAUAAUGUGUUAUGAAUAAGGAAAUAUGUUGAAAACCGUGAAUUAAAAAUAAUUUUAUUUUGGAACUGACGUUUUUGAAAUUUUGCAUUCCAUGUACCUAGUAGUCGGUGAAAUACGAUCUGUCAGAUUUAUAAUUUCAAUUAUUGACUGUAUUUAAAUUGAUCACAAAUUGCCGCGAUUGUAGAUGUAAAAUGUUUCUUACUAUUUACUGAAAUUCAACUUUUUAUAUUAUGAUUGAAUCAUGUACCUGUGCUGAUCAAAAUGUACUUGCAUUUAGAUAAUGAUCACAUUAACAUUACCUAUUCAAUUUUUUGAAAUAGCUGUAAUUAUUUAGAAAUCAUCGCUUAUUUUUAUAGAUAUAUUAAUAUUUUUGACGAUAGUUUUUGAUUGAAAUGUAACCAUUUUAUACCUGAUCUUUUUUUUCAGUCUGUUCAUGAAUCUUGAUUUACAAAUACGUAUUAAAAAAUAAUUAUUAUCUCAAUGUAAAUUAUGUCUUGCAAAUAUUCGAUAUUUCUGGUUUUAAUUCAUCGGAUAAGUACUAAACAUUUUGAUUUUUUUUUUUCAAAAAGCUCUCUUUUUUACCCGGUUAUUAAUUAGUAUUAUGUUAUUCUAUCUCAAGCUUAAGCGCUGAUGUGGAUAUUAGAUUAUAUGACCUAAGUAUUAAAAGCUGACAAAUUCAAUUUUUCUCUAUUUAAAACGAAUAUUUUGUAUUUCUUGUUAUUUUUUUCUGAAAUUGUGUAUUGUGUGUUUGAAUCAUUAUGUUCUGUCAUCCAAAAAUACAUUUUUAUUCGUUUGUUUCA